GUGCUGCCUUUGAGCCCCCUUUGCCCCUACGCGUGGCGCCAGGAGUCAGGCUGCAGCAGGGGCUCGCACAUAGCUGGGCCACCCGCAGCUCACGGGCUGGCUGCCUUUUUAAUUGUGAGUGACACUG